rnacentral:lncRNA from 1 species
GGGGGCGGAAAUCGUGCUAAUUCGGCACUGUGCCCAAGGCUGGUGAAGGUGCAUCGAAUAUGCUAAUCCAGAGCAGAGUAAUGCCCACACGGUUCUCAGAAACUGAGAUCGGAAGCUCGGCUUAAUUAUGGUAGAAGACGCUGAGGGCUGAAGACGUCAACUCUGCAUCUCACACGUGCUUACGUUUAAUAAUCGAAAUUUGAAAGAGGAUUUGCUUUCAAAAGGAGAGAAAAGAAUCCAAGCUGCACCUGAAUCACAUACUUCUGUACAGAAGCAGGAGCUUAAAAUUAGAAAUCGGGUGGACUUCGUGCAGACUGUCGGAGGGAACCGACGGCCGUUGUUCGAGACUCCAUGAUGAUCGCUGCGUUGUGACUCUCCAUGAGCUCUGCAGCCUGGAACCAGUCUCUGGGGAUCUAUUGAAAGGCAGUUGGCCGCAGGCCUGCAGUAGUAUCUCCCAGAUUGGCGAGGCUUGAGCCUGUUGAGACAAGCCCGCUGACAGCUCUUCUCACGGUUUGCACCGUGCUCUUGUCGUGCCUCAGUUUAUAGUUGCUCACCUAACAAAUAAAAAUUGAAUCUGGCCGUUGGGGAUUUAGGGGGGUUGCUGUUUAGACUCUCCCGACCUCGCUCAGUCACACUCCGCACACUGGAACUUGAGCUGUGGUCGGAUUCAGGUAGAUCAGGAGUUCGCAGCGUUAGACGAAGCGAAUUGUUCAUUCAAGUUCGUAAAUUCCAACGAUGAACAGCUUCGGUUUCAGCGAGCCGUCAAUCGUUUGUUCAAUGGUCGUAGGAACUACCACUUUUCCUCUCUUUUCUUGACUGCUCUCAGAUGUUCCGCAGGUGCAAAAACUGAAUUCACUGACACAUGUAUCCCACAAAUAAUCAAACUGUAGCAUUGAGAGAUUAAAUCUGGAUGAGUCCAGAAGUUGCCUAAUUAAAAAUCUAACCUGCGGAGCUCACCAACGUCGCAUCUGCUGUAAGAUUCCUCCUCAAACCUCCACGCUCAAAUAAAACCCCUCCCUCUUCGCCGAGACGUUAUGGACGUGGUUAUCAACGGCAAUCCGCUUCAGAUGUUGAUGCCAAAGAAAGGGUGUGGAAUGUGGUCGAUGUUUUUUUUAAUCAACCAAACGUGCUCUCCUGGUUACUGGCGAUUGCCCCUCAUUAUGGAUUCGAUUCUCAGGAGCCAUGCGGCAUCUCUGGUUCACAAUGACAGCGGUCUGAGUGUUUUUAGCCAAGCGGGCUGACGUUCCAAACCAAAAUGAUACAUCGAGCCAGAGCUAGAAGAAAUGAUACAGCAAUUCCUAGUUAUGUUCUGAACAUAGAGGUACACACAGCGAACGCAAUCACCACGUUGGAGUAAAACGAGACAACAUUUGAGGCGCUGGUGGAAACCCCCGCGAGAGUUUGCAAUUCUGGACCCAUGAAUCUGGACGACGAACAAGAGUCGUGCACGCUCGGUGAAGAAUCGAAAAAAUAAAUUCCCAGCGAAUCAAUGAGCAGCUUGAUUGUCGCGGACUCAUCAAUAGUGCAAUGCCUACUAAUUUUCCACCUGAUUGGAGCUCCAUAAUUUGGAGGG